ensembl:snRNA U6 U6 spliceosomal RNA
GUGCUCACUUUAGCAGCAGUUUAGUAUAAAAUUGGAAGGAUACACAGAAGAUUAGCAUGGCUCUUGUGCAAGGAUGACAUGUAAAUUAACGAACCAUUCCGUAUUUUU